UGCAAGUCGGACGGGAUUGAGAAGCUUGCUUUUCAUGAGAGUGGCGCACGGGUGCGUAACACGUAUGUAACCUACCUUAAUCAGGGGGAUAGCCUCUCGAAAGAGAGAUUAACACCGCAUAAAAAUCAAUUUAUGGCAUCAUAGAAUGAUCAAAUAUUUAUAGGAUUAAGAUGGGCAUGCGGAACAUUAGCUAGUUGGUAAGGUAACGGCUUACCAAGGCUACGAUGUUUAGGGGAUCUGAGAGGAUGACCCCCCACACUGGUACUAAGACACGGACCAGACUCCUACGGGAGGCAGCAGUAAGGAAUAUUGGUCAAUGGGCGCAAGCCUGAACCAGCCAUGCCGCGUGCAGGAAGACGGCCCUACGGGUUGUAAACUGCUUUUGUACCGGAAUAAACCUUUGUAUGUAUACGAAGCUGAAUGUACGGUAAGAAUAAGGAUCGGCUAACUCCGUGCCAGCAGCCGCGGUAAUACGGAGGAUCCAAGCGUUAUCCGGAUUUAUUGGGUUUAAAGGGUGCGUAGGUGGCCUAUUAAGUCAGGGGUGAAAGACGGUAGCUCAACUAUCGCAGUGCCUUUGAUACUGAUGGGCCUGAAUACACUAGAGGUAGGCGGAAUGUGACAAGUAGCGGUGAAAUGCAUAGAUAUGUCACAGAACACCAAUUGCGAAGGCAGCUUACUAUGGUGUCAUUGACACUGAGGCACGAAAGCGUGGGGAUCAAACAGGAUUAGAUACCCUGGUAGUCCACGCCCUAAACGAUGAACACUCGAUGUUGGCGAUAUACGGUCAGCGUCUAAGCGAAAGCGUUAAGUG
rnacentral:rRNA from 1 species